UAUCUUGAUUUAUUUGAGUUAUUUUUUCUCUCUCCUAUUUAAUUAUAUAUAAAUAUAGUUUCUUUUUUUUUUCGCACGGAUUUGGACGACCACUCUUCUCUCGGUAAAACGUAGAAAGACGGAACGCCUCUAGCGGCAGGUUUUUAUAUCGUCUGGCUCGUCGCCUUUUAUUGGUCGGAGGUACACGCACUGUUCACAUGCACGGCCGGUCACGUGGGCUGGAAUGGCCAAUCGCGCGGCGCCAAACGACGAAUCACGUGAUUAUCGACGGAAACGCAGAAGAAAUAUUAUAAUUUUAUUAAUAAUGGAUGCGUAUUUUGCUCCGUGUCAAAAUUUUUUAUUAUUGUUAUUUUUUUCUUGUGUUUUCUUCCACAUACUUUAUCUUUUUCUGUUUCGUUAAUGGGAUAGACACUUUAAGUAUGACCUUUCGACCUUUAAACGCAAGAAUUUUGGAAAGUGUGUGGCAAUUCCUCGAUUUCCACAUUUUGUAUACGUUUCAACAAUAUUGGAUUUAUCAUAAAUGCUUUCGAAUUUUAAGGAGGCAAAAAUAAAAAAAAUAAAACCGACACACACCCGUGCAAACAGCGGUAGGUGUAGUAGAUUAAUACGUCAUAGUUAACAGACGUCACGUCACGCAAUGGUAUCGGUUGUCUCGUCUACACACGCUUUGUAUAUAAAUAAAGGAAUUGUCGUUAAAGAAAUUUUCAGCAUCGAUUUUUCUUCUUUCUUUUCACAAUU